rnacentral:misc_RNA from 1 species
GCAGGAUCAACCAGGUAGCAUUCCUCGCAGACAUCGGGCCACACGACACGAAUGCCAAUGCGACCCAAACGUCGUUUGGAUUUUAGCUUGUUAAGCUUUGUUGGGCAAAUAGAUGUCUAUGACAUCGUGCCCCUCACAUUUUCCGCAUCCGAAAGUCCGAGCAAGAUCUCAUGAGCCACAACGACAAGCCUAAUGGCCCACGAUGCGGAGCAUGAAAAUUGCUUUUUGCUUCACCCGCAACCGCACCGAAUUAACAGGCAACCUUGGGCGAACUAGAGAAUAUAAGCAACCGAAUUCCAUUUUAUAAGGUAAGCAACACAGGAAACCUAGCCACGGCCAAAGCAAAUUGUGCCCAACAAUGAAGUGGAAAGCGCAGUUAGUUGUCGACGCACGAGGCGGGGAUCCAACCAAACCGUGCUAUC